rnacentral:rRNA from 1 species
AGUGGCGAACGGGUGAGUAAAGUAUCGGAACGUGCCCAGUCGGGGGGGAUAACGUAGCGAAAGUUACGCUAAUACCGCAUACGAUCUAUGGAUGAAAGCGGGGGAUCGCAAGACCUCGCGCGAUUGGAGCGGCCGAUAUCAUAUUAGGUAGUUGGUGGGGUAAAGGCUCACCAAGCCGACGAUCUGUAGCUGGUCUGAGAGGACGACCACCCACACUGGGACUGAGACACGGCCCACACUCCUACGGGAGGCAGCAGUGGGGAAUUUUGGACAAUGGGCGCAAGCCUGAUCCAGCCAUGCCGCGUGCAGGAUGAAGGCCUUCGGGUUGUAAACUGCUUUUGUACGGAACGAAAAGGUUUGGCCUAAUAAGCUGAGCUCAUGACGGUACCGUAAGAAUAAGCACCGGCUAACUACGUGCCAGCAGCCGCGGUAAUACGUAGGGUGCGAGCGUUAAUCGGAAUUACUGGGCGUAAAGCGUGCGCAGGCGGUUAUGUAAGACAGAUGUGACAUCCCCGGGCUCAACCUGGGAACUGCAUUAGUGACUGCAUAGCUGGAGUACGGCAGAGGGGGAUGGAAUUCCGCGUGUAGCAGUGAAAUGCGUAUAUAUGCGGAGGAACACCGAUGGCGAACGCUAUCCCCUGGGCCUGUACUGACGCUCAUGCACGAAAGCGUGGG